rnacentral:rRNA from 1 species
GGUCAAGUUAUUAAGGGUGCAGGGCGGAUGCCUUGGCACUAGGAGCCGAUGAAGGACGUGAUAAGCUGCGAUAAGCUUCGGGGAGUUGCACGUAAACUUUGAUCCGAAGAUUUCCGAAUGAGGAAACUCACUUAGAGUAAUGUCUAAGUAUCAUUAAGUGAAUACAUAGCUUAAUGAGGGGAACUCAGGGAACUGAAACAUCUAAGUACCUGAAGGAAGAGAAAGAAAUUCGAUUCCGUAAGUAGCGGCGAGCGAACGCGGAUUAGCCCAAACCAAUAAAGUUUUCUUUAUUGGGGUUGCGGACAUAUCAUAACGAAGAGGUAUCGUAAUUGAAGAGGUUUGGAAAGACCCACCACAGAAGGUAAUAGUCCUGUAUGUUAAACGAGAAGACUUUAGAUAUGAUCCAGAGUACCACGGGACACGUGAAACCCUGUGGGAAGCAGGAGGGACCACCCUCCAAGGCUAAAUACUACCUAGUGACCGAUAGCGUAUAGUACCGUGAGGGAAAGGUGAAAAGAACCCCGGGAGGGGAGUGAAAUAGAACCUGAAACCCUGCACUUACAAGCUGUGGAAGCACAUUUCUUGUGUGACCGCGUACUUUUUGUAGAACGGGCCAACGAG